rnacentral:misc_RNA from 1 species
UAUAUAGAAACAUACUCCCUCCGUUUCACAAUGUAAGUCAUUCUAGCAUUUCCCACAUUCAUAUUGAUGUUAAUGAAUCUAGACAUAUUAACAUCAAUAUGAAUGUGGGAAAUGCUAGAAUGACUUACAUUGUGAAACGGAGGGACUAUGUACCAAGAGA